rnacentral:rRNA from 1 species
GCCAGAGGUGCCGAGCGUUAGGCGGAAUCACUGGGCUUAAAGCGUGUGUAGGCGGGCGGGCAAGUACCUUGUGAAAUCCCACGGCUCAACCGUGGAACGGCUGGGUAUACUGCCUGUCUUGAGCCAACUAGGGGCGAGCGGAACAGACGGUGGAGCGGUGAAAUGCGUAGAUAUCGUCUGGAACGCCAAAGGUGAAAACAGCUCGCUGGGGUUGUGCUGACGCUGAGACACGAAAGCCAGGGGAGCAAACGGG